UGAUUGAAUGAAUGAAUGAAUGAAUAUAAACUGUCUUCCUGGAGAGGGGUCAGAAUUUUCAUCAGAUUUUCAAAAAUGCCUGUGACACAAAAAAAAGAUAGGAACCACUGACAUAGUAAAUCAUCAACAAGUUUACUGGAAAUUUUUGCUUGCCAGGUAGACUGCCUAAUGAAGCAGAAGGUCAUGAGAAAGUCAUUCUCCUUCUCUGACUUGCGUCUCCCUGGAGAACUACUGCCGGUAGCUACUGGGACCUCCUUCCCUAGGACUGGCACUGAGUGUCCCUGGAUCCAGCCCCGAAUGAGCUUUCUCUGGUUAUGGCAUGGAGGAGGGACUGGAGGGCGUUGAGACGGGACUGGCCGGGACACUGGCACAAUAGCCCAGGUGACAAAGGAUGAACGACAAAACAAGGAAGACCCUGACACAGGGCGAGUGAUGGAAGGACUCUGAGAAUGAAGAAUAGUUGGGACCUGUCUGCUGACGGACCGGAGGUGAGGGAGGAGCCUGCAUUGCUUCUGUGUGUUCACGCCACAUAAGGGAGAGCAUGGGGAUUGCACCCCCCGCCAAGCCUGAGCAGUGGUUCAAAGUCGUCAAAUCUCAGUGUUCAUUAAACUCAUUCAGAAUUUCUUCUAUGGCAAUAGAAGGAUGAGUGCA